rnacentral:rRNA from 1 species
GACGAACGCUGGCGGCGUGCUUAACACAUGCAAGUCGAACGAAGAGCGAUGGAAGCUUGCUUCUAUCAAUCUUAGUGGCGAACGGGUGAGUAACGCGUAAUCAACCUGCCCUUCAGAGGGGGACAACAGUUGGAAACGACUGCUAAUACCGCAUACGAUCUAAUCUCGGCAUCGAGGAUAGAUGAAAGGUGGCCUCUACAUGUAAGCUAUCACUGAAGGAGGGGAUUGCGUCUGAUUAGCUAGUUGGAGGGGUAACGGCCCACCAAGGCGAUGAUCAGUAGCCGGUCUGAGAGGAUGAACGGCCACAUUGGGACUGAGACACGGCCCAGACUCCUACGGGAGGCAGCAGUGGGGAAUCUUCCGCAAUGGACGAAAGUCUGACGGAGCAACGCCGCGUGAGCGAUGACGGCCUUCGGGUUGUAAAGCUCUGUUAAUCGGGGACGAAAAGGGCCUUUC